UAGGGAAUUUUCCCCAAUGGGCGCAAGCCUGAGGGAGCAACGCCGCGUGCAGGACGACGGCCUUCGGGUUGUAAACUGCUUUUGCGUGGGACGAUAACGACGGUACCACGCGAAUCAGCCCCGGCUAACUCUGUGCCAGCAGCCGCGGUAAUACAGAGGGGGCAAGCGUUGUUCGGAAUUACUGGGCGUAAAGCGCACGUAGGCGGACCAGUCAGUCAGAGGUGAAAUCCCGGGGCUCAACCUCGGAACUGCCUUUGAUACUGCUGGUCUCGAGUUCGAGAGAGGUGAGUGGAAUUCCGAGUGUAGAGGUGAAAUUCGUAGAUAUUCGGAGGAACACCAGUGGCGAAGGCGGCUCACUGGCUCGAUACUGACGCUGAGGUGCGAAAGCGUGGGGAGCAAACAGGAUUAGAUACCCGCGUAGUCC
rnacentral:rRNA from 1 species